AGCAGACAAACAGUCCCAAAUGUUAAAGCAGCCACAGUUAACAGAAGUUCUUUGCUUUCUGUACCAACCCAGGCUGCUUCCAAAAGCAUUUUAACAAGGAGGAAUAAUAGAUUAAAAGUUACAGGGGAAAAAAGCUGAACAUGAAGAGCAGUUGGGUUCUCAGUCUCCAGCCCAUGGGUGCAACAAGAGCUUCAAAACCUACAUCCAACCUGUGUGAACACCACCAACAGCCAUGAAAGACACCAGGUACACCCCUGCCAGUGCCACCUGGGGUUCCAUCCAUCCAUCCCACCGCUCCAAGAGCUCCUCGGCGCCGCUCCCAACUGAGGAAAACCAAAAGUUCAGCAUCAAGAAUUCACAAAGUGCAUUUCUCAGAGACUGGAUUUAAACUGAAACCAGACUAAAAUAUGUGGAUGCCUAUGGAAUGUUGAGCUGAAGCUGGGCUCCCAGCCUGCAGUGCAACACCUGCUGUUUAAAACCCAAUCUCCGUACCACAUGACUUGGAAAAAACCAAAACCCCCCCCCAACGCAAUCAUGUUCAGAGAUGUGACAGAAAUAAAACUACAGUUUUUGCA